GCUCCUUCAAGCAACUUGGUGAUCCCAAGAUCAGGGGCUUGGGUAGGAAUUAGCCUUGGAGUUUGCAGUUGGGAUUCUGGGACAUUCAAAGAACCAUAUACGCUAAAAGCACUUAUCCGAGCCACAGGACGGAAGAGAGUACGAGGAUCAUUUGCUACAUCACUCCGUUGAACUACUUCUUGACUCCUAUCCUCGUAGUGAUUACCUUCUUGGUUUUCUUGAGAGCUAACGUCUUUUGCUUCAAUUGCUUUCAAAGAAUUCACAUCACCACAUGAUUGGGUUUCCUCAGAUGAUGCUUUUGAUUUCCCAGCACUAGCAUCCUCCAGGAUGUUGCUGGAGUCACUUCUUAACUUACCAUGUUCAGCACAACGGCGCCUCAAGGUUGAAUUCCAAUGAUUUUUAA
rnacentral:misc_RNA from 1 species